rnacentral:tRNA from 1 species
GAGAGCAUAGCUCAGUGGUAGAGCGUGUGCUUAGCAUGCACAAGGUCCUGGGUUCAAUCCUCAGUACUGUCA